rnacentral:rRNA from 1 species
UACGUAGGGUGCGAGCGUUAAUCGGAAUUACUGGGCGUAAAGCGUGCGCAGGCGGUUCGUUGUGUCGGUGGUGAAAGCCCCGGGCUUAACCUGGGAAUGGCCAUGGAAACUGGCGAACUGGAGUGUGGCAGAGGGGGGUGGAAUUCCUGGUGUAGCGGUGAAAUGCGCAGAUAUCAGGAGGAACACCGGUGGCGAAGGCGGGUCUCUGGGCCGAUACUGACGCUGAGGAGCGAAAGCGUGGGGAGCGAACAGG